AUUGAACGCUGGCGGCAGGCUUAACACAUGCAAGUCGAGCGGUAACAGAGAGAAGCUUGCUUCUCUGCGGACGAGCGGCGGACGGGUGAGUAAUGCCUAGGAAUCUGCCUAGUCGUGGGGGAUAACUUGCCGAAAGGUAAGCUAAUACCGCAUACGUCCUACGGGAGAAAGGAGGGGACCUUCGGGCCUUUCGCUAUUAGAUGAGCCUAGGUCGGAUUAGUUAGUUGGUGAGGUAAUGGCUCACCAAGACCGCGAUCCGUAACUGGUCUGAGAGGAUGAUCAGUCACACUGGAACUGAGACAUGGUCCAGACUCCUACGGGGGGCAGCAGUGGGGAAUAUUGGACAAUGGGGGGAACCCUGAUCCAGCCAUGCCGCGUGUGUGAAGAAGGUCUUAGGAUUGUAAAGCACUUUAAGUUGGGAGGAAGAGCAGUUAACUAAUAUUUGACUGUUUUGACGUUACCGACAGAAUAAGCACCGGCUAACUUCGUGCCAGCCGCCGCGGUAA
rnacentral:rRNA from 1 species